AGUGCCUACGGGAGGCAGCAGUGGGGAAUAUUGCACAAUGGGGGAAACCCUGAUGCAGCGACGCCGCGUGAGUGAAGAAGUAUUUCGGUAUGUAAAGCUCUAUCAGCAGGAACGAGACAAGACGGUACCUGACUAAGAAGCCCCGGCUAACUACGUGCCAGCAGCCGCGGUAAUACGUAGGGGGCAAGCGUUAUCCGGAAUCACUGGGUGUAAAGGGAGCGUAGACGGCGAGGUAAGCCUGAAGUGGAAGCCCGCGGCCCAACCGCGGAACUGCUUUGGGAACUGUUUUGCUGGAGUAUGGGAGG
rnacentral:rRNA from 1 species